AUGGAGGCGUAUAUCGGAAGUACGCCUUGUUCUUUCGUGAGCAGGGGGCAAAAAGCAAAGCACAACUGCGAAACUCCCCGGCGCCGCGAAAUCUCCGGUGGCCUCCCCCACCUCCAGUCUUCCUGGCGGCGAAACCCCGGCAUGGCGAUGCUUCUCCGCCGACGCCUCCCAGCGACCCGCCUCCUCCGGCAGCUGCAAGCCGGGGCGGCGGCCUCCACCACCACCUCCUCCCCUCCCCCGCCGCCUCCUCUCCAAAAGCCUAUCGCCGCCUCCGCAUCCGCCUCGCCUUCUACGGCACUAGGGUCACGCCUAGGAUUCCCCAAUGCGAAAUCCCGCGCUUCGUCCUCGAGGAGUGCCGCCUUCCUCGCUGCCGGCGCGGCCGCCGCGCUCGCGUCGCUGCCGGUGGUGGCCUACGCUGAUGCCAAUGAGGAGGGCGUGGCUGACGGCGCGGUGAGCACGGAUGCGGCGCCGGUGGAGGACUUGGCCCGCAAGGAGAGGAAGAGGAUAAUGGAGCUGAUUGAGAGCCGAGGAAUGCAGCCAGGGUCGUACCCGAAGUUUGAAGUUGCAAUCAAGGGCCAGAAGGUGGUUGUUAAAUUCAAUGUACCGUCAACCUGUAAUAUAUCGCGCCUCAUUGUUGAUCUCGUAACGCAUAUCGGACAUGAGGCAGAACAGUGUGUUGGUGGCUCAGAGAUACUAUUGCGUGCUUGGGACAGUGCAGCUGCGCGUCAAAUAACAUUGAAUCCCCCAAAAACGACAGCAAGCACUGGAGAGAACAAUGAAGAUUCUCUUUGUAUUUUGAUAUUUGAGCCACUUGUCGGAUCUGAAUAUGCUAUUAGUCCUUAUGAGAUUGAAUUCAUCAAGCCUGACAGUUUUAGUUCGAAAGAACUUGAAGGUUUGGUCAGUGCUUUAAAAAUAGCUGGGCAGAAAGAUGUUAAGACAUCAUCAGGGAAAGCGUCAACCAAAGGAAGUGGUCAGAGAUCUAAGCAUCUACCCUCUAUAGAAAAAACUGUAUCUGAUUUAGAGGAUAUGGGUGUUAGGGUCUAUGGGUUUGAUGAAACCUCUAGUGUUCCAAUGGAUGGCACUGUCAUGUGGGAAAACAUUGCUGGGUAUGAACAUCAGAAAAGGGAGAUAGAGGAUACUGUACUCUUGGCUUUACAGAAUCCUCAAAUAUAUGAUGACAUUGCUCGUGGUACACGUUGCAAAUUUGAAACAAAUCGACCUCGGGCGGUUCUGUUUGAAGGUCCACCUGGGACUGGUAAGACAUCUUCUGCUCGCGUUAUUGCCAAGCAAGCGGGAGUUCCACUAUUAUAUGUGCCACUGGAGAUCAUCAUGUCAAAAUAUUAUGGUGAAAGUGAGCGCCUGUUGGGAUCUGUUUUUUCACUUGCCAACAAUCUUCCUGACGGAGGUAUUAUUUUCCUAGAUGAGGUAGACUCUUUUGCUAUAUCUCGAGAUAGUGAAAUGCAUGAAGCUACUCGGAGGAUAUUAUCAGUAAUUCUGCGACAGAUCGAUGGGUUCGAGCAGGAUAGACGUGUGGUGGUUAUUGCUGCAACAAAUAGAAAGGAAGACCUUGAUCCUGCUCUCAUCAGCCGUUUUGAUUCAAUGAUUUGUUUCGGCCUACCGGACCAGCAGAGCCGUGCAGAAAUAGCAGCCCAAUAUGCAAAGCACCUAACAAAACCCGAGUUGGUUCAGUUUUCCCUUGCCACUGAGGAGAUGGCAGGAAGAGAUAUCAGGGAUAUUUGCAUGCAAGCAGAAAGACAUUGGGCAUCGAAGUUUAUCAGGGGACAAAUUCCAAAAGACGAGAAGGGGGAGCCCCCUCUUCCUCCAAUCGACGAGUAUGUCGCAUGUGCCGAACAACGAAGAAAGUCUUUACCAGAUAGAACAAGACCAGCAGCAUCCAGAUCCGGCCCACCUCUGAAAUUAGCUUGA
rnacentral:rRNA from 1 species